rnacentral:tmRNA from 1 species
UGGAGCCGUGCCUGUGCGUCCAGCUCUCAGGCGUCAUAUCUCACGGGAUCGCAUUGAAGCUCGUCCGGGGCGGAUAUGUUAAAACCUUACCGGAAUCGCUUGCUACAUACCCUGUCCGUCGGGUGGUAGCCGGCUAAAAAUAAUAGGCAGGACUAAGCAUGUAGAACUUUUGGCAGAGGACUCGCGGACGGCGGUUCGAAUCCGCCCGCCUCCACCA